rnacentral:rRNA from 1 species
AACGAACGCUGGCGGCAUGCCUAACACAUGCAAGUCGAACGAGACCUUCGGGUCUAGUGGCGCACGGGUUCGUAACGCGUGGGAACCUGCCCUUAUGUUCGGAAUAACUCCCCGAAAGGGGUGCUAAUACCGGAUAAUGUCUUCGGACCAAAGAUUUAUCGCGUUUGGAUGGGCCCGCGUUGGAUUAGCUAGUUGGUAGGGUAAAAGCCUACCAAGGCGACGAUCCAUAGCUGGUCUGAGAGGAUGAUCAGCCACACUGGGACUGAGACACGGCCCAGACUCCUACGGGAGGCAGCAGUGGGGAAUAUUGGACAAUGGGCGAAAGCCUGAUCCAGCAAUGCCGCGUGAGUGAUGAAGGCCUUAGGGUUGUAAAGCUCUUUUACCCGGGAUGAUAAUGACAGUACCGGGAGAAUAAGCUCCGGCUAACUCCGUG